rfam:Glossina morsitans morsitans, isolate Yale, WGS project CCAG01000000 data, contig: ctg10012347
GUGCUUUUUGCUAUGGCAGAACAUAUACUGAAAUUGGAACGAUACAGAGAAGAUUAGCAUGGCCCCUGCGCAAGUUUCAAUAUUAAUAAUUGAACUUUUAAUUAU